UAGGGGGCAAGCGUUAUCCGGAUUUACUGGGUGUAAAGGGAGCGUAGACGGCAAAGCAAGUCUGAAGUGAAAGGUCGGGGCUUAACCCCGGAACUGCUUUGGAAACUGUUAUGCUAGAGUGCUGGAGAGGUAAGUGGAAUUCCUAGUGUAGCGGUGAAAUGCGUAGAUAUUAGGAGGAACGCCAGUGGCGAAGGCGGCUUACUGGACUGUAACUGACGUUGAGGCUCGAAAGCGUGGGGAGCAAA
rnacentral:rRNA from 1 species